AUUGAACGCUGGCGGCAGGCCUAACACAUGCAAGUCGAACGAGUGGCGGACGGGUGAGUAAUGUCUGGGAAACUGCCUGAUGGAGGGGGAUAACUACUGGAAACGGUAGAUAAUACCGCAUACCAUCAGAUGUGCCCAGAUGGGAGUAGCUAGGUGGUGGGGGAACGGCGCACCAAGGCGACGAUCCCUAGCUGGUCUGAGAGGAUGACCAGCCACACUGGAACUGAGACACGGUCCAGACUCCUACGGGAUGCAGCAGUGGGGAAUAUUGCACAAUGGGCGAAAGCCUGAUGCAGCCAUGCCGCGUGUGUGAAGAAGGCCUUCGGGUUGUAAAGCACUGUCAGCGGGGAGGCGUUACCCGCAGAAGAAGCACCGGCUAACUCCGUGCCAGCAGCCGCGGUAAUUC
rnacentral:rRNA from 1 species